AAGAAUAAAUAAAUGCAUUUUCGCGCUGCAGGGGAAAGUCCGGUGGGAAUCCGGCGCUGACCUGCAACCGUGUGCGGUGGCCCCCACCACCGCGAGUCGGAUCGCCCGAGGCGCGAGGAGACACGGU
rnacentral:ncRNA from 2 species